UGGCGGCAUGCUAACACAUGCAAGUCGAACGCGAAAGCACUUCGGGUGUAAGUAGAGUGGCGGACGGGUGAGUAACACGUGGGAAUCUACCUGGUAGCGGGGGAUAACUUGGGGAAACUCAAGCUAAUACCGCAUACGCCCUACGGGGGAAAGGAGGGGAUCCUUCGGGACCUUUCACUAUCAGAUGAGCCCGCGUCGGAUUAGCUUGUUGGUGGGGUAAUGGCCUACCAAGGCGACGAUCCGUAGCUGGUCUGAGAGGACGAUCAGCCACACUGGGACUGAGACACGGCCCAGACUCCUACGGGAGGCAGCAGUGGGGAAUAUUGGACAAUGGGCGAAAACCUGAUCCAGCAAUGCCGCGUGUGUGAAGAAGGCCUGAGGGUUGUAAAGCACUUUCAAUUGGGAAGAAAAGCUCAGAGUUAAUAUCUCUGGGUCUUGACGUUACCUUUAGAAGAAGCACCGGCUAAAUCCGUGCCAGCAGCCGCGGUAAUACGGAUGGUGCGAGCGUUAAUCGGAAUUACUGGGCGUAAAGCGCGCGUAGGCGGCUUGUUAAGUCAGAUGUGAAAGCCCCGGGCUCAACCUGGGAAUUGCAUUUGAAACUGGCAAGCUAGAGUAUGGUAGAGGGUAGUGGAAUUCCAGGUGUAGCGGUGAAAUGCGUAGAUAUCUGGAGGAACAUCAGUGGCGAAGGCGGCUACUGGACCAAUACUGACGCUGAGGUGC
rnacentral:rRNA from 1 species